rnacentral:rRNA from 1 species
CAGAGGGGGCAAGCGUUGUUCGGAAUUACUGGGCGUAAAGGGCGCGUAGGCGGCCUUCUAAGUCGAACGUGAAAUCCCCGGGCUCAACCCGGGAACUGCGUUCGAGACUGAUUGGCUUGAAUCCGGGAGAGGGAUGCGGAAUUCCAGGUGUAGCGGUGAAAUGCGUAGAUAUCUGGGGGAACACCGGUGGCGAAGGCGGCAUCCUGGACCGGCAUUGACGCUGAGGCGCGAAAGCCAGGGGAGCAAACGGGAUUAGAUACCCCGGUAGUCCUGGCCCUAAACGAUGAGUGCUUGGUGUGGCGGGUAUCGAUCCCUGCCGUGCCGAAGCUAACGCAUUAAGCACUCCGCCUGGGGAGUACGGUCGCAAGGCUG